GGCCAGGGGGUCUGCUUAUAUAGUCCCCUCCUUUUGUGCCUUUUUGGUUCAGCAGGCGAUGUGGUACUAAACUUUCCACCAUAUCUCAUUAAAAUACACAUAGGCAUUAAUGGACCAAAAUCUGAUUUGGGCCCAAUUAAUCCCGCAGCUCUUUUAUGUGGAGUCCUUCUUUUAUUAAUAUCUCUUGAUUCCGAACUCCAAAUAUAGCAAAU
rnacentral:lncRNA from 1 species